GAAAUUGCAGCCCAAAUAAAUGCUUCACAGAGUUCAAGUAACAGACACAUCUCAACAUCAACUAUUCAGAGACUGCGUGAAUCAGGCCUUCAAUAGAAACACUAGUAAAGGACAGCAAUAAGAAGAAGAGACUUACUUGGGCCAAGAAACGUGAGCAAUGGAAAUUAGACCGGUGGAAAUCUGUCCUUUGGUCUGAUGAGUCCAAAUUUGAGAUUUUUGGUUCCAACCGCUGUGUCUUUGUGAGACGCAGAGUAGUUGAACGGAUGAUCUCUGCAUGUAUGGUUCCCACCAUGAAGCAUGGAGGAGGAGGUGUGAUGGUGUGCUUUGCUGGUGACACUGUCAGUGAUUUACUUGUAAUUCAAGGCACACUUAACCAGCAUGGCUACCACAGCAUUCUGCAGCGAUACACCACCCCAUCUGGUUUGCGUUUAGUGGGAUUAUCAUUUGUUUUUCAACAGGACAAUGACCCAACACACCUACAGGCUGUGUAAAUGCUAUUUAACCAAGGAGAGUGAUGGAAUACUUCAUCAGAUGACCUGACCUCCACAAUCACCAGACUUCAACCCAGUUGAGAUGGUUUGGGAUGAGUUGGACAGCAGAGUGAAGGAAAAGCAGCCAACAAGUACUCAGCAUACGUGGCAGCUCCUUCAAGUCAGUUCGAAAACAUUCCAGGACGAGGAGGUGACACUCUGCAUGGAGCCGGAGUCUGCCACUCUAACACAGAGAGAUGAAGCCAUCACCUCCGGGGGCAGUAGUCCUGGGCAACGUAGUCCGGGGCAACCACCAGCACAGCAAAUCACAGAGCGGAAGGCCUCUGAUGUCAGUUGUGGAGCCAUCCAGAUGCUGGAGGAGAAGGAAGAGAAGCAGGGGUCCACUGUUGCUGCCAUGGCAACCAACUGAUUGACAGAUCGUCCUGAGAAACGUGACAGACUGACCCUCGGCGUCAGGAAUGACUGAGCCUAAUAAUUAAAUAUUUAUCAAUAAAUAUGUUCCUUUUCAGGUAUCAAACACAUUUUUGAUGGGAUAUAAACUCUUGUGACUACUGAAGAGCAGAGGAGGAAGAUUUGGAAACAGACUCACGCAGUGACAACAGCUGG
ensembl:lncRNA